GCCCCACUGGCUCAGCCAGAAGAGCAUGCAACUCCUGAUCUCAGGGUCGUGAGUUCAAACCCCACGUUGGGUA
rnacentral:tRNA from 1 species